UGAUAGAGAUAGAGAAUGACAGACACUAAGGAUAGACCAAUAAGGUAUACUGAUAGAGAUAGAGAAUGACAGACAGAAAGGAUAGACCAAUAAGGUAUACUGAUAGAGAUAGAGAAUGACAGACAGAAAGGAUAGACCAAUAAGGUAUACUGAUAGAGAUAGAGAAUGACAGACAGAAAGGAUUGACCAAUAAGGUAUACUGAUAGAGAUAGAGAAUGACAGACACUAAGGAUAGACCAAUAAGGUAUACUGAUAGAGAUAGAGAAUGACAGACAGAAAGGAUUGACCAAUAAGGUAUACUGAUAGAGAUAGAGAAUGACAGACAGAAAGGAUAGACCAAUAAGGUAUACUGAUAGAGAUAGAGAAUGACAGACAGAAAGGAUUGACCAAUAAGGUAUACUGAUAGAGAUAGAGAAUGACAGACAGAAAGGAUUGACCAAUAAGGUAUACUGAUAGAGAAAAGGAUAUGGAACAGAUGAGAGAUGGCGUUUGUUAGAGAGAUAGCCAGAUGAAGGGAAGGCAUGAUAGAGGGAGAGGGGGGUCAGAGAUCAUGGAAAGAUGAGGUAAGGAUUGAGAUUAAUACAAUGAUUGAUUGGUCGUGCUAAAGUCCCACUCAAGGAAGAGGGUUUUUUCAUCACCUUCAUAUUAUUUCUCAUUUCAUUUCUCCCUCUGUCCUCCUAUCUUUCAAUCUGUUCAUCAUUUUGCCAAUACCCUCUCACAUCACUCUCUUUCAUCUGCAUCCAUCUGUGUCUGACUCUCUCCCACCUCGUUCUCUUACUCACUCACUCACUCACUCACUCACUCACUCACUCACUCACUCACUCACUCACUCACUCUUGCC